GACCCGCACAAGUAGUGGAGCAUGUGGUUUAAUUCGAAGAUACGCGCAGAACCUUACCAGGGCUUAAAUGCAGAGCGAAUAGUUUGGAAACAGACUAGCCUUCGGGCGAUCUGCAAGGUGCUGCAUGGCUGUCGUCAGCUCGUGCCGUGAGGUGUUGGUUAAGUCCCGCAACGAGCGCAACCCCUAUCUUUAGUUGCCAGCGAGUAAUGUCGGGGACUCUAAAGAAACUGCCUACGCAAGUAGAGAGGAAGGCGGGGACGACGUCAAGUCAUCACGGCCCUUACGUCCUGGGCCACACACGUGCUACAAUGGUUGGUACAGAGGGCAGCUACCGGGUGACCGGAUGCGAA
rnacentral:rRNA from 1 species